AAUAUGGCGGGGCGUUUGGCGCUUGCUGCAGCCAGAGCUCCAGGUGUCGUUUUCAUUUCUGUGUCCUCUUCCUAGAGGCCCAGCCUGUGUGGCCGUGUGACCUGCAGAUAUUGGGAGAUCCACAGCUAAGACUCCAGGACGCCCUGGAAGCCUAGAAAUGGUGAGAGUGCCGGGUGUGACGUCCCGAGAGAGGGGGAGGGGCUGGUCGGAAGCGUGGGAAGUGGCCGUGGUGGACUUAGGUCUCCCCGCAGUCAGCUCCACAAUCCGCGCCGGGAAUUCUCCUUGCCCAGCUCGGCUUCAGUCUGUUUCAGCCAUAAGAUGGCGACUGUGCUGACAGCCGGGCCCCGGGCGUCCUGUCUUCUCUCCGCAGUGACUGUGCAUGACCUGUAGCCGUGUCUGGGGAGCUCUGCACGCGCAAUUCUGCAGUCUCUCCCAGAUUGUGCAAGAACCAUGGGAGGGGCGUCAGGACAAAAAAACUGGGAAAAACACAGGUUCCUUCAUUUACUGAAUGUUUGACAAAAUAUUCUUUU
rnacentral:sRNA from 1 species